rnacentral:rRNA from 1 species
ACGGGGGUUGCGAGCGUUGUCCGGAAUUACUAGGCGUAAAGGGCAGGCAGGCGGAUCUAUAAGUUUUUCGUUUAAGGCGUCAGCUUAACUGGCGUACGGCGGGUGAUACUGUAGAUCUGGAAGGAGGGUGGGGAAGACAGAAAUCCUGGGGUAGCGGGCAAACACGCUGACAUUGGGAGGAAACCCCGAGGCGAAGGCUCUCAACUAGAACGAGACUGCCGGUAGGCUGGGCAGGUGAGGGUCGCGAACGU